rnacentral:misc_RNA from 1 species
AUUUUGUCUUCGUUUCACGAGUUAUAAAGGUCAAGUAAGAAGGAUUUGAUAUAACUUGGAUGGAGUAAUGGAGGAGGAUACAAUAUCUACCAUGAAAAUGGAAGAUUCUGGAGGGGAGAGGGGAAAUCUUUCUUUUGGAAUGCCCUCCAUGUCUGGUGAACCUGUUGUGAUCACCUACACCACUGAAAGCACAGAAGAUGCCGCACAACUUCAGGAAAAGAACGAAUUAAAAGCAAACACGACAUGCACAGAAACAAGUCAACAAGAUACUGAGGCUGCAGAGAGUGACAGUUUCAGUGAGGCCCUGGCAGGGGAGCAGCUUCUACAGAUGGCAAAUGCAAUCGUGAUGGAACAGGGACAGAUGGGUGGGGUGGAGGAAAAUCAACACCAAAUAGUCCAAACUGUCGAUGAAAAUGGAACGGUUGUCAAAGAAAUGCAGAUUGUUCAAAACAGCGAGGGAGAGACAAUGGGGCAGCUACAAACAAUGGCAGAAUAUACUGAUGAAGAUGGAGCCAUACAUCAGGUUCCUGUCAAACUGGAUAAUGACAACCAGUUGGUGCAACUGGUUCCUGUUUCAACUGAGGAUGGGAACCAAGUUUACAUCCAGGUCCUGAACCCAGACAAAACGGACGGACUGUCCACCAAAGAGUCCCCCACGGAGAUCCAGGAGGUGUUGAUAACGGAGAACCAGCUAGGACAGGAAAUGAUAUCUCAGGACGAAUCCAUGGACGGUCAGGAAAUCACAAUAGAGAAUGUCCAGGAAUUGUCCAACUACAAAACGCAGGUCAUGGAGGAUGGAACAGUCCAAAUCUACAUGCUAGACGACAAAAAUAAACAGCAGAGGGGACUUAAUAAAACUCUGAUGAACAUCAUAUCUCCCACUAAAGGGGAUGCCUCUGGUCCGCCGGCCAGCUCUCUGAUGACAAUUCAAGCCAAAAAAUACAGAGACGUGGCCACUCAGAUUACUGUGUUUCCAAAAUUUUCCAGGCAGGGAUUGUUUGAUGUCUCAACGCAAGUUACAUCCAAAGAGAUUCAGAGAGAUCCAAAAUUACGCAGUCUCCCAAAUGGCACCACUAUCAUUCAGAAUAGUAUUGUUAAUCAGAGCGAGAGUACCAUCAUUCUAAAUGCAGGGAGUGAGAGUGAAAUGAUUCUCCAUAAAUGCACCAUCUGUGGAAAAGUGUACAAAAAUAAACAGAAUUGGCAGGGGCAUAUCAAAAUUCAUGCUCAAGAAAAAGUAUACAUGUGUGGCUAUUGUGGAAAGAUUUACCCCCGAGGGAGCCUCUCAACUCACCUUCGUACCCACUCAGAGCUCAGACAGAUUGCUGUGUUUGAGAACUUGCCCGAUCAUUUGAAGAGGAAGAACUACAAGCAAGCCCCAGGAAUGGUUUUUCCAAAUGAAGAGGCAUCCAUUAUAGAACUAAGCAUUGCAGAUGUCGCCUGUGAAAUAGAUCCGGAUUUGUUUCCACCACCGGCAGCUGAAGUGCGGAAGCAGAAAUCCAGGAAGGAACGAAGACCAAGUUUAUUUAUAAAUGUAAUGUCUGUGGUAAGGAAUAUAAUAACAAGAGUAACUGCCAUAGGCAUCUCAAGUCCCAUACAGAUACAAAAGGCUUCAAAUGUGGAUAUUGUGGGAAGGCAUUUACACACAGGUACGAGGUACGAAUGCAUUGUAGAACUCACACUGGUGAGAGACCGUACAAGUGCCCUAUAUGCACUCGUGGAUUCAAUGAAAGUGGAAACCUUAGGCGCCAUAUGAAAAUCCACGAGGGAGACAAUUCACCAUUUAAGUGUGGAGUCUGCUUCAAAGGAUUUAAUGACACUUUAAGAUUGAAUGCUCACAUGAAAGUUCACACAGGAGAAAUUGUUUGUGAUGUGUGUGGCAAGAAGUUUGGCAAGAUCUCAGAUUUGUAUCGUCACAUAAAAAUCCACAGUGGUGACCGUCCAUACAAAUGUGACUUAUGUGGGAAGACUUUCUGCCAGAAGGUCAAUUUAAUCACGCAUCAGCGCACCCAUACUGGUCAGAAAGCUUUCAGGUGUGACUACUGUGGUCUGGGAUUCAGCCGGAAGACCAUCCUCCAGCAGCACAUGAAGACUCACCUGGAAGAUGAAGAGGAUUUCUCCGUAGAGAGGACAGCGGUCAGGCCUGGGAAGGGACAGGUGGAGAUUAAUAUGGAGGCAGAUGUCAUUGAGCACAUGGAGGCUCUGUCUAACGAGUUCGUGGAAGAUGGAGAGACCCAGACAACGGACAUCCAGGACGUGGUGCUGGAAGACGGGGAGGAGAUCAUCACCGAGGCAACCAAUCAAGAUAUAGCGGCUUAUAAGAUACAAGAGGUGGAAACAUACACAGACUGAUGGAAGAUUGCGAAAGGAAAUGAAAAUAUAAUCUAUACCUUGAGUUUGAUAAAUGUAACAAAGCCAAAUUAUUGCAAGGCGAUUGAUUGACAGUUAUUUUUUAAGGUUAUUGCCUAAUAUUUAUGUGUUCUAUGGUUCAUGUAAAAUAUAUUUAUUUUUAUACUAUCAAUGGUAACUGUUGUUGUUGGAGAAGGGAGGUAUGAACUGGAAGACCAGUGAAAUACAUGUAUGACAAUUGAUUAUCUGGUCAGAUUCAAACAAGGCAGCAACUGAAAUUAUCAGUAUAUACUACAUGUACUACAUAAUAUAUUGGACAUUAUAUCCAAUGUUUAAAAAGUGAAUUUCAGAAAUACUUUUGAAGAAACUUGUUGAGUUUUGAACUUUGGUACAGUUUGUGUUCUUUAUUUCUGGUUGAUUUAUAGUUAUGAUCAAGUUAUGAGUUUGGAAUUAUUAAAAUUGUUAUUU